GUAAUGGGGGCUCAUUUAUGCUAGGGCGUGGAUGACUGAUAUCAGGGUCUUUCACACCAAGAGGCUUAGCCGGAGGCAGAGGAGAGGAGAUCAGAAGGGCACUGGAGACUGCAAGGGCAAGAGGUGACUGGGGCUAAGCCUAGAGGGAAGAGGGCAUGGAGCUGAGAGCUUCAGGCACAAAAGAGAAACUUAAUACCUGCUUUGUAGGCCCCAGGUCCUGUGCCUGAUUUUCUCUUUCCUCUGAGAAAGAAGCUGUGAGGUUUCUGAAGUGUCAAGUCACUCUUCAUGUCUAAUCCUGUUGCUGUUUAGAGAGAGUGUGUUUCAGAUUUAUGUCUGAACUGCAUCUAAAGGUAUCAGCAAAGUCGUUAAUUUCAGCCACCUGAAUCUGGUGGCUGCCUCUGCUUACGCACAGCAACACUUCCUUCCUCCAGUCCUGUGGGAAAUAAGCAAAAAAGGUAUUAUAUGCCACGUCAGCAGGUCUGUGAAUUCAUGAAGAUCCCUGAGACCAUUUCAGGGGUCCACAAGGCCAAAGCUAUUUUUAUAAUAACACUAAGACAAAAUUUGCUUUUUUUCCCACAGUGUUGACAUUUGUACUGAUGUUGCAAAAAGUAAAAGUGGGUAAAAACUGCUAGUGUCUUAGAUCAAGGAGGUGGCUCCUUGAACUGUCCUGGUGGGUAUUCUGUCCUUCACUACUACACUCUCAGAGGAGCCGAAAUGCCAGUUUCUUAAAGAAUGUCCUUAAUGAAGUAGUAAAGAUGAUAAAUUGUAUUAAAUUUCAACCCUGGCGUACCUGCCUUUUUAAGAUUCUGCAUGAAGAGAUGAGAAGUAUGCUUAAGCCCUGC
rnacentral:lncRNA from 1 species